AGUUUUAUAUUAGACAAAAUGUGGUACCUGUAAUCUACUAAACUCAGCAUUUUAACAUUGACAAAGAGAAAAAUGGAUUCAGAAGAAAAAACAUUUAUUAUUAUCUGUUACUUCAUUGCUCGUUAUCUCAAGAAUCAUCAGGAGCCUGGCCAGUUAAAUUCUCUAAGUUCUAACACUCUAAUCCCCAAAGAACUUCAAUCCAUACACAAAGGAGUGGAUGAAAGAGAGGAAACGUGUGUUUUGUUGAUGAAGGUCAUCACCCGGCUGCUGCUCCCGCAGGAGCAUGUGAAGUGGGAUGCACGACCACCGUUCAAAGAUUAACGUUUGCUGCUUCUCAACAGGAGUAUGGUCUCGGCCUCACCCAACAGCAGCAUCAGGACCAAAGUCGCACACAUGAGGUUUGGAGUGAGGGAGACCUGAGCAGGGGUGCCCCUGCUAAACCUCAGCUGGAGCUCUGUAAAUAGACAUAAUACACAUCCCAUGAGAAUUUGAAAAGAUUCAUUAAAAUAUCACAUGUAAACCAUUUGGCACAAUGUCCAACAUGUGGCAAGAAUUCUGCAACUGCUACAUAUAGUGCUAAUGUUGCUGUUAGUAUCAUCAGUCAAGGCCCCAACAGAAAACAAAUUCAGGUCAAGUGGUUCAAAUGGAGAGACGUACAACGAGGACGGUUUGCAGAGGUUUGGGCAGGAUUGAGGAGGCCGGCAGGGGCUCCUGGAGCAAGCGGAGGUUAGCAGCAGUGGAGAAAUGCUACCUGUGGUCUUGAAGGGGCGGGUGGGGAGGUGCCCUGGAACAAGCGAGGGUCCCGCCUGGGAGACGAGGUGGGGUGGGGGGCAGGACCUGCAGUCCUGAAGAGAAUGUAGGUACUACCAGAAGGAGGCUCCAAAGUUGAAAGGAACAAGUAAGAAAUCCCCAAACUGCUUCUCCUUCCACUCUCCAGUCCUUGCCACCACUUCCCUGAGUGGAAGCAACUGGACAGUACAGGUCAUAGCAGCCUCUGGAAGAUUAAGUGGGUCGGAAGAGGAUUAGCUUAAGAGGGCAAGAGUGACCAGCCAGUGCACUUUCCACCCGCAUUAGGAUGUACGAAGUUCCUUCAGCCUCACAGCCACCAGGCCCCAUGUAAACUUGCAUGGUUUCCAUGAAAAUAAAUUAAUAAUUUUUCUCA
rnacentral:lncRNA from 1 species